GACGAACGCUGGCGGCGUGCUUAACACAUGCAAGCAGAACGCUGAAGAGAGGAGCUUGUUCUUCUCGGAUGAGUCGAGAACGGGAGAGUAACGCGUAGGUAACCUGCCUUGUAGUGGGGGAACAUCAUUGGAAACGAUAGCUAAUACGGCAUAACAAUGGAUGACAUAUGUCAUUUAUUUGAAAGGGGCAAUUGCUCCACUACAAGAUGGACCUUCGUUGUAUUAGCUAGUAGGUGAGGUAAAUGCUCAUCUAGGCGACGUUACAGAGCCGCCCUGAGAGGGUGGGCGGCCGGCCUGGGACGGUGACACGGCCCAGACUCCUUCGGGAGGCAGCAGGAGUGAAUCUUCGGCAAUGGGGGCAACCCUGACCGAGCAACGCCGCGUGAGUGAAGAAGGAUUUCGGAUCGUAAAGCUCUGUUGUAAGUCAAGAACGCGUGUGAGAGUGUGAAGUUCAGUCUGUGACGGUAGCUUACCAGGAAGGAACGGCUAACUACGUG
rnacentral:rRNA from 1 species